GACGAACGCUGGCGGCGUGCUUAACACAUGCAAGUCGAACGGAAAGGCCUGCUUUCCCUUGUGGAUUGCGGGUACUCGCGUGGCGAACGGGUGAGUAACACGUGAGUGAUCUGCCCCCAACUUGGGUAUAAGCCUGGGGAACUGGGUCUAAUUCCCGAUAGGACUGCAGGGUGGUGCCUGUGGUGGAAAACGAUUUUCUAGUGGUUGGGGAUGAGCUCGCGGCCUAUCAGCUUGUUGGUGGGGUAAUGGCCUACCAAGGCGGCGACGGGUAGCCGGCCUGAGAGGGUGGACGGCCACAGUGGGACUGAGAUACGGCCCAGACUCCUACGGGAGGCAGCAGUGGGGAAUAUUGCACAAUGGGCGGAAGCCUGAUGCAGCGACGCCGCGUGGGGGAUGACGGCCUUCGGGUUGUAAACUCCUUUCGACCGCGAGGAAGCCACCUGGUUGGAAGGGUGGUGACGGUAGUGGUAGAAGAAGCACCGGCUAACUACGUG
rnacentral:rRNA from 1 species